CCUACGGGAGGCAGCAGUAAGGAAUCUUCCACAAUGGACGAAAGUCUGAUGGAGCAACGCCGCGUGCAGGAUGAAGGCUUUCGGGUCGUAAACUGCUUUUAUAUGGGAAGAUUAUGACGGUACCAUAUGAAUAAGGACCGGCUAACUACGUGCCAGCAGCCGCGGUAAUACGUAGGGUCCAAGCGAUAUCCGGAAUUACUGGGCGUAAAGCGUGUGUAGGUGGAUUAAUAAGUGUGAUGCGAAAUCCGGCGGCUCAACCGUUUGGACUGUGUCGCAUACUGUUAGUCUAGAGGACGGCAGAGGUAAGUGGAAUUACGGGUGUAGCAGUGAAAUGCGUAGAUAUCCGUAGGAACACCAAUGGCGAAGGCAGCUUACUGGGCCACACCUGACACUGAGACACGAAAGCGUGGGGAGCGAACAGGAUUAGAUACCCUGGUAGUCCACGACCGUAACGAUAGCAUACUAUUAGUAGUAGGGUAGUACGUACCCGUCGUGUCUGAGAGACUACGACGAUAAGUAUGCCGCCGUGGGAGGUACGAGCGCGAGUAACGUUAAACGUAACGUUAAAGAAGUAGUUAGACGNGNGAGNGCGACGACGACGACGACGGAGGAGGAGG
rnacentral:rRNA from 1 species